GAACGCUGGCGGCGUGCUUAACACAUGCAAGUCGAGCGGAAAGGCCCUUCGGGGUACUCGAGCGGCGAACGGGUGAGUAACACGUGAGCAACCUGCCCCAGGCUUUGGGAUAACCCCGGGAAACCGGGGCUAAUACCGAAUAUGACCUCCGAUCGCAUGGUCGGUGGUGGAAAGUUUUUCGGCUUGGGAUGGGCUCGCGGCCUAUCAGCUUGUUGGUGGGGUGAUGGCCUACCAAGGCGACGACGGGUAGCCGGCCUGAGAGGGCGACCGGCCACACUGGGACUGAGACACGGCCCAGACUCCUACGGGAGGCAGCAGUGGGGAAUAUUGCACAAUGGGCGGAAGCCUGAUGCAGCGACGCCGCGUGAGGGAUGACGGCCUUCGGGUUGUAAACCUCUUUCAGCAGGGACGAAGCGUAAGUGACGGUACCUGCAGAAGAAGCGCCGGCCAACUACGUGCCAGCAGCCGCGGUAAGACGUAGGGCGCGAGCGUUGUCCGGAUUUAUUGGGCGUAAAGAGCUCGUAGGCGGC
rnacentral:rRNA from 1 species